UUAAAUUGAAGAGUUUGAUCAUGGCUCAGAUUGAACGCUGGCGGCAGGCCUAACACAUGCAAGUCGAACGGUAACAGGAAGAAGCUUGCUUCUUUGCUGACGAGUGGCGGACGGGUGAGUAAUGUCUGGGAAACUGCCUGAUGGAGGGGGAUAACUACUGGAAACGGUAGCUAAUACCGCAUAACGUCGCAAGACCAAAGAGGGGGACCUUCGGGCCUCUUGCCAUCGGAUGUGCCCAGAUGGGAUUAGCUAGUAGGUGGGGUAACGGCUCACCUAGGCGACGAUCCCUAGCUGGUCUGAGAGGAUGACCAGCCACACUGGAACUGAGACACGGUCCAGACUCCUACGGGAGGCAGCAGUGGGGAAUAUUGCACAAU
rnacentral:rRNA from 1 species